rnacentral:rRNA from 1 species
GAUGAACGCUGGCGGCGUGCCUAAUACAUGCAAGUCGAGCGAACAGACGAGGAGCUUGCUCCUCUGACGUUAGCGGCGGACGGGUGAGUAACACGUGUAUAACCUACCUAUAAGACUGGGAUAACUUCGGGAAACCGGAGCUAAUACCGGAUAAUAUAUUGAACCGCAUGGUUCAAUAGUGAAAGACGGUUUUGCUGUCACUUAUAGAUGGAUCCGCGCCGCAUUAGCUAGUUGUUAGGGUAACGGCUUACCAAGGCGACGAUGCGUAGCCGACCGGAGAGAGUGGUCGGCCACACGGGAACUGAGACGCGGUCAUGACUCCUAAGGGAGGCAGCAGUCGGGAAUCUUCCGCAGUGGGCGAAAGCUUGACGGAGCAACGCCGCGUGAGUGAUGAAGGUCUUCGGAUCGUAAAACUCUGUUAUGAGGGAAGAACAAAUGUGUAAGUAACUAUGCACGUCGUGACGGUAACGAAUCAGAAAGCAACGGCUAACUACGUG